UACAGAGACUGCAAGCGUUAUUCGGAUUCACUGGGCGUAAAGGGUGCGCAGGCGGUUGGGUGUGUCAGAUGUGAAAUCCCGAGGCUUAACCUCGGAACUGCGUCUGAAACUACUCGACUAGAGUAUUGAGAGGGUAACGGAAUUCACGGUGUAGCAGUGAAAUGCGUAGAUAUCGUGAGGAACACCAGAGGCGAAGGCGGUUACCUGGACAAUUACUGACGCUCAGGCACGAAAGCAUGGGGAGCAAAAGGG
rnacentral:rRNA from 1 species